rnacentral:ncRNA from 1 species
AUUCGGUUGAAAGCGCCAGAACCUAAUUAUAAAGAUAUCAAAUUAGGUUGACGAGGGAGAGAGUUAUCGAUUUUUCGGCGGAUGCUCUCAGGUUGUAGCUGUUCUACCUAAAUAUUAUCUUUUAAAAUUGGUGGGUAACUGCCGAGACAGAGAAGAUAAUUAGCAGCUGA